rnacentral:rRNA from 1 species
CAGUCGCCACGGGAAUACGAAGGGGGCUAGCGUUGCUCGGAAUCACUGGGCGUAAAGGGUGCGUAGGCGGGUCUUUAAGUCAGGGGUGAAAUCCUGGAGCUCAACUCCAGAACUGCCUUUGAUACUGAAGAUCUUGAGUUCGGGAAAGGUGAGUGGAACUGCGAGUGUAGAGGUGAAAUUCGUAGAUAUUCGCAAGAACACCAGUGGCGAAGGCGGCUCACUGGCCCGAUACUGACGCUGAGGCACGAAAGCGUGGGGAGCAAACAGGAUUAGAUACCCCUGUAGUCCCUGUCUCUUAUAC